UACGUAGGGGCAAGCGUUGUCCGGAAUCAUUGGGCGUAAAGAGGCGUGAUAGGCGGCUCGGGUAAGUCCGCUCUGAAAGCCCGGGGCUCAACCCCGGGAAGGCGGGCGGAUACUGUCGAGCUAGAGUCCGGAAGAGGCGAGUGGAAUUCCUGGUGUAGCGGUGAAAUGACGCAGGAUAUCAGGAGGAACACCAAUGGCGAAGGCAGCUCGCUGGGACGGCACUGACGCUGAGACGCGAAAGCGUGGGGAGC
rnacentral:rRNA from 1 species